GGGGUUGUAGCUCAGUGGUAGAGCGCUCGCCUAACAUCCGAGAGGCACUGGGUUCGAUCCUCAGCACCACA
rnacentral:tRNA from 1 species